UUCGCAAUGCCCGAAAGGGUGACGAAGCGACGCCGCGUGCGGGAAGAAGGCCUUCGGGUUGUAAACCGCUGUCGGGAGUUAAGAAGUGCAAGGGUGUUAAUAGCAUCUUUGCUUGACUAAGGCUCCGGAGGAAGCCACGGCUAACUCUGUGCCAGCAGCCGCGGUAAUACAGAGGCGGCAAGCGUUGUUCGGAAUUAUUGGGCGUAAGGAGCACGUAGGCGGUUUUGUAAGUCAGAUGUGAAAGCCUUCUGUUCAAAGGAAGAACGGCAUCUGAAACUGCGAAUCUUGAGUGUAGGAGGGGAGAGUGGAACUUCUGGUGGAGCGGUGAAAUGCGUAGAUAUCAGAAGGAACGUCGGCGGCGAAAGCGACUCUCUGGCCUAUUACUGACACUGAGUGUGCGAAAGUUAGGGGAGCAAACGGGAUUAGAUACCCCGGUAGUCCUAACUGUAAACGAUGGGCACUAAGUAGAGGGGUUUU
rnacentral:rRNA from 1 species